GAUAAGUGCUUGCCAGUGGUUGGGUAUUGGAGGAAUGGGAAUGGCUGCUAAUUGGUACGGUGUUUAUAAUGUGAUGAAAUGUUUUGGAAAGAGAUACUGGAGAUGAUUGCCCAACCUCGUGAAUAUAUUAACAUCGACUGAAUUGUACCCUUUAAAAUGGUAGACUUCAUGGCAGGAACUGGAGUGGUUCUUUCACUCUGCCCACCGCUGGCCACUCCUCCGCUCAGGAGGGAGGGUGCGAGCGAGCAAGUGCAGGAACUGAAGCGAACAAACACUGGAACUGGCCAGAGUCCAAGCAUGUUAUGACCAAUACUCUGUCAGAUCAGCCGUCCAGGGACAGGGGAGUGCCAACCAGCUCACUGGAGGGUCAAGGUGGCAGCCUCUGACCUCUCAGCACCCAGGUUCUUGUCCAGCAUCCAGGAAGAAUCAAGUCACAUGAACUGUUUGAGAGGUUGAUGAAUGCAGAAGACUUUAUUGAGCAGUGGUUGGCUCUCAGCAGAAAAGGAGACUGAAAAGCGGUCGGGAAAAUGAUCUCUCUCUCCCUGAAGCCCGGCUGCCCCUCUCUGAAGCAGCCCUGUCUGAAGUUAGCCACAUCUAUCCAUAGUCUCCAACGUUCAGUUGCUUCUCUGCUCGCUGCUCAGCCACUUGUGUUGCUCUGCCAGCUGAAGUCUUCUAUGGGCACAGGAUAGGAGCAUGGCAGGCCAAAAAGGUAACUUCAUCUUGACAUUCUGCAAAACAUAAUUCUGGUCGACUACAUGAGUGGCAUGAUGCUAAUGUGACUUAUGAGCAAGAAGUGGCAAAUACCCUACAUGCCCAAAUCCGUGCAAUCUCUGGCACUAGGGGGUCAUCUGGGUUUGGAUCACAUAGCAGUGAACAAAUGGAUAAAAGAACUGCAAGAAAACAAAAACAUCUGUUACCCAGUUUCAGGAGUUUGGAUAAAUAAAUUUUUCUAAACCGUGUAUUA
rnacentral:lncRNA from 1 species